AACGUAGGAGACGAGCGUUAUCCGGAGUUACUGGGCGUAAAGCGCGCGCAGGCGGUGGAACAAGUGUGGCGUGAAAGCUCCCGGCUAAACUGGGAGAGGACGAAACAGACUGUUUGACUGGAGGGCGAUAGAGGGAUGCGGAAUUCGGGGUGUAGCGGUGAAAUGUGUAGAGAUCCCGAGGAACACCAGUGGUGAAAACGGCAUCCUGGGUCGUUACUGACGCUGAGGCGCGAAAGCUUGGGGAGCGAACGGG
rnacentral:rRNA from 1 species